AUCCUGUCCUGCGUUUUCAUUUCUAACUAUCCUUCCCGACCAUCUUCUGACAAACAUCUCCUCCAUCGAAUGAACCUUCAGGAUGUCCUCCAUCGUCUUCAGGACUCUGACUCUGAUGUCUGUGCUUCUGUGUGGAGUCUCAGCAGAGCAAGGUGUGUCACUACACUGCAAUCAACCUGUGAAUGUUACAUCUGGAGAUGAUCUGACUCUCAGAUGUGACAUUGAAUUGAAAGAAACGGACUGUAAUGAUGUUUCUGUUGAUUGGAACGACUCAGAAGAGAACGUCUGCAUUAAGAACACAUACACAACUGACUACAAAACCUUCACCUCACUACAUAUGUCAAAAGUCACAGAGAACAAGACCAUCACCGUUAAGAUUAGAGCAGAUUGUGGCAUGGAUUCUAAAACUAUCACUUUGAAGGUCCAUCCUGAUUCUGCAAAACCACACGAAGACAGGAAGCAAGGGGCCCCAGCAACGACCCCAGUGACAGGAAGGAGCUUUGUGUUGAGCACAGAGGGGGA